UACACAGAGAAAAUGAUGCAGAAUUUAAAAAGCUACCCAGCUACAAUGAAAAACUUUCAUAUGUUUGCAUCAUUUGUCGGAAAAAUUGUGUUCAGAUAAAUAAGUUACUUCAAUCUUCAGAAAAGGCGAUGAAGUAUAUAGAAACAAUACUGCCAUUCUAACCCCUAACUGCAUAUAGGGGACAUUGGUGGACUUCUUUGACCGCAAAAAGCUUUGGAUUUGACCAGCAUGAAGCAAAAUUAGCAGGCCCAGCUUGGAAGUAAGGCAUGAACAUCUGAAUGUAUGUAUAUAGUGAUAUGUAAAACAUCUGUAUUUCAUUUAUUAAAUGUUGUAACUUAUUUAUA